UCGGGGACAUUGGUGACAGGUGGUGCAUGGUUGUCGUCAGCUCGUGUCGUGAGAUGUUGGGUUAAGUCCCGCAACGAGCGCAACCCUUGUCUUUAGUUGCCAUCAUUAAGUUGGGCACUCUAGAGAGACUGCCAGGGAUAACCUGGAGGAAGGUGGGGAUGACGUCAAAUCAUCAUGCCCCUUAUGCUUAGGGCUACACACGUGCUACAAUGGGUAGUACAGAGGGUUGCCAAGCCGUAAGGUGGAGCUAAUCCCUUAAAGCUACUCUCAGUUCGGAUUGUAGGCUGAAACUCGCCUACAUGAAGCUGGAGUUACUAGUAAUCGCAGAUCAGAAUGCUGCGGUGAAUGCGUUCCCGGGUCUUGUACACACCGCCCGUCACACCACGGGAGUUGGAGACGCCCGAAGCCGAUUAUCUAACCUUUUGGAAGAAGUCGUCGAAGGUGGAAUCAAUAACUGGGGUGAAGUCGUAACAAGGUAGCCGUAUCGGAAGGUGCGGCUGGAUC
rnacentral:rRNA from 1 species